ACGAACGCUGGCGGCGUGCCUAAUACAUGCAAGUUGAGCGCUGAAGGUUGGUACUUGUACCAACUGGAUGAGCAGCGAACGGGUGAGUAACGCGUGGGGAAUCUGCCUUUGAGCGGGGGACAACAUUUGGAAACGAAUGCUAAUACCGCAUAAAAACUUUAAACACAAGUUUUAAGUUUGAAAGAUGCAAUUGCAUCACUCAAAGAUGAUCCCGCGUUGUAUUAGCUAGUUGGUGAGGUAAAGGCUCACCAAGGCGAUGAUACAUAGCCGACCUGAGAGGGUGAUCGGGCACAUUGGGACUGAGACACGGCCCAAACUCCUACGGGAGGCAGCAGUAGGGAAUCUUCGGCAAUGGACGAAAGUCUGACCGAGCAACGCCGCGUGAGUGAAGAAGGUUUUCGGAUCGUAAAACUCUGUUGGUAGAGAAGAACGUUGGUGAGAGUGGAAAGCUCAUCAAGUGACGGUAACUACCCAGAAAGGGACGGCUAACUACGUG
rnacentral:rRNA from 1 species